GCGUGGUGGACGGUGGUUGGCGCGGCCCGACUAUGUGGUGGGGAGUCGACUGGCUCGCUUCUCAUUCGCCCCCUCGUUCCCCUCUCUCUGUCUCUCGUCUCCUUUCGCCGCCGCCGUCGCCGACGCUCGCCCUCCUCGAUUCGACGCCGUUCUUCGGUUCAGACGGUGCCGUGCCGUUGGGGUUGCCUUGCCGGUCGACCGGAGAUGGAGCUUAUCGUUUGAGCCUCUGCCCUCCCCGUCGAGGUCGCUCCUCACCAUCGCAGGCACGGUCUGGUCGGGGCCACGACGACGAGAGGAGCAGCAGAGGAUAACUUUUCCCCACGGAUCCUUCUCGUCUUCCACGUGAUUCGAGUCUCCUCUCUCCAUCAGGUUUUGAAGGCGGUUUUGUGUAGAACAGCCACGGAGCAGAAACAACGAACAUGCUGCUUCAGCAACAGCGUAAUGAUCCUGAUGAUACUCUUAUCAUUUUGUUAACGUAAUGUGUGUUCUGUCAAUGCUCGCUCCGGAUGCUAGCUAGACCUACUGGGUAGCAUAGCUAAUUCUUUGCCUAUCUUCACAACAUUCAAGAGCUCUUUAGUCCUGCCAAAGCAAGGUUUCGAUGAUUCCCUCACACAAAAUAUUCAUAUUUGGUCGUGCCUGCAUGAUGCGUGUGUGCAUGAUGGAUGGUCAUGCACUACUGUACUAGCUAGAUAAUAAGCUUGUUUUGCUACUGAAUGAUUGAACGGUGUCUCAGUUUGUACCUCAGUUAGCUCACCGCCUAAAAUUGCGACGGGAUAGGCACUGUUUGGUUCGUGCUCCCAUUCUUGGUGGGCUAAACAUAUUUGUUUGUUUGAUUUGGAGCAGCAGGCGCUUUCCAUCGACAACCGGGACUCCACGCCUAAGCUGUUGAUUACCUCAUUUUAUUCAUCUUCUCCGUAUAUUCAUUCGAUUGCCUGCUACAUUCUUCUUCAUUGCACGGGCAUGCAUCUUGGCUCAUGACCAACCGAAAUUAGUAGUUCACCUGCUUGCUAAAUUUAUUUUUAUGCCUUCUGUUUUGUCGAAUUUUACUGAGUAAGCAACUGGGAGUUGCAUCCAACCUUUGUCGGUUCAGCUUCUCUUUUAUGUUCUGUAGAUAGAUGUUGGUUCAAUGCUGUUAAUUUUGAGCUUCUCUCUUUUAUGUUCUAUAGAUAGGUGUUAGUUGUUCGCAUGUUGUACAAUAGCCAGCUCAACUAUACAUGUCUCCUUUUUUUGAGCCAAUUAAUGUGAUGUAUGAGUCAAAUCAUAUUACUAAUUAUUAUUGUCCGGGUUGAAGAGAAGAAUCUAUGACAGGGAGAGACUUGCUUUGCAAAACAUGUGUUUUCGUUGAAGACUUGCUUGCUGUGUGCCAUGGCUAUGUGUGAUGCUGAUCAUUGAAUUAUGUACUGCUGAUCAUUGGAUUAUGGUGCCAUGCUUAGGCAUAUUAAGUGUUUGUAUUAGGAUUUUUAAAUAUUCUCAGGUCAUGCUUGUUCUAAGUUUGCUUAGUCAUGUAAAUGAUGGUCGUCCAUUGGCGGAGUGCUUAGAUGGUGGUUAUGUGAAGGAUGUUGUCUUCUACAAGCAGCAAGAAAAAUUGUUGUUCAAAAACAUAUCUAAAGGCCAACAUGAAUCAUCAAGACUGUCAACUGAGUCUGGACCAUACAUCAAUUGCAACGGGUUUUAGGAAUGCAUCACUAUAUUGAUUUUGGUUUAUACAUGAACUGCAGAGAGUUUUAUAAAUGUAUCAUCAUAUUGUUUUGGGUUUAUAUAUGAAUUGCAAAAUGUUUUAGGCAUGUGAAAAUCAGAGCUCAGGCGGCAGGCGAUUUUUUUUCUUGCUUCUAAUGCCAGGAUGAUGUUCUGUAUA